UUGAGACUGGUUGGAAGAAAGGACCCCUCCAGUGACGGUGACGGCCGAGAGCGCCGAUCUGACCCCGCGGAGGCCCUGCCCUCCGGUCGCCCGCGCCGAGUUUGCGAGGCCCGGAGAGGACGCGGCUCCCUUUUGUUCUGGGGUAGUCGAGUGUCUUCUCCGUCGCUGACACCGGCGAGCGGGCUUGGCCGUGUGAUUGAUUACGUGUGUUUUGCUUGUGGUCCUUGCCCGCCGGAAACUACGCGAGAUAGAAACAUCCGCGCCUUCUGAGGAUUGCAAUGCGUUUAAGUGUUUUUAGACGCUAAGCUAAUUUGGAGGGUCUGUAGAAGAAAUGUUGAUGCUUUGGUUAUCAGCGCAGCACUCUUUACACUUAGGGAGGGAAUAUCUUCAUUUUACAGCCCCAAACUAAUCGUGAAAUCAGACAAUUUCCCGUUUGGGGGCCUCCAGUAAUACACCUGCAAGUACUCUUCAAAGCAGUGGAGGACAGCAAAAACAAGGCAAAUCCAAGACUGUCAGAAUCCAG